rnacentral:lncRNA from 1 species
AUGAAACACUUGACCCCUGUAACAUCUCUACAGGCAGACAGACAGACAGACAGGUCCACACAUCAUCUCUACAGACAGACAGACAGACAGACAGGUCCACACAUCUACAGACAGACAGACAGACAGACAGGUCCACACAUCUACAGACAGACAGACAGACAGACAGACAGACAGACAGACAGGUCCACACAUCAUCUCUACAGACAGACAGACAGACAGACAGGUCCACACAUCAUCUCCACAGACAGACAGACAGACAGACAGACAGACAGACAGACAGGUCCACACAUCAUCUCUACAGGCAGACAGACAGACAGACAGACAGACAGACAGGUCCACACAUCAUCUCUACAGGCAGACAGACAGACAGACAGACAGACAGACAGACAGGUCCACACAUCAUCUCCACAGACAGACAGACAGACAGACAGACAGACAGGUCAACCCACCCCAACAGCAGCAGCAGCGCUCUGCCUCUGUGUGUCUCUGCCUCUGUCUCUGCCUCUGUCUCUGCCUCUGCCUCUGCCUCUGCCUCUGCCUCUGUCUCUGUCUCUGUCUCUGUCUCUGUCUCUGUCUCUGUCUCUGUCUCUGUCUCUGCCUCUGCCUCUGCCUCUGCCUCUGCCUCUGUCUCUGUCUCUGUGUGUCUCUGUCUCUGUCUCUGUCUCUGUGUGUCUCUGCCUCUGCCUCUGCCUCUGCCUCUGUCUCUGUCUCUGUCUCUGUCUCUGUCUCUGUCUCUGUCUCUGUCUCUGCCUCUGCCUCUGCCUCUGUCUCUGUCUCUGUCUCUGUCUCUGUCUCUGUCUCUGUCUCUGUGUGUCUCUGUCUCUGUCUCUGUCUCUGUCUCUGUCUCUGUGUGUCUCUGUGUGUCUCUGUCUCUGCCUCUGCGUGUCUCUGUCUCUGCCUCUGCCUCUGCCUCUGUGUGUCUCUGUCUCUGUCUCUGUGUGUCUCUGUCUCUGUCUCUGUCUCUGUCUCUGCCUCUGUCUCUGCCUCUGUCUCUGCCUCUGCCUCUGCCUCUGCCUCUGCCUCUGCCUCUGUCUCUGCCUCUGCCUCUGUCUCUGUCUCUGUCUCUGUCUCUGUGUGUCUCUGUGUGUCUCUGUGUGUCUCUGUCUCUGCCUCUGCGUGUCUCUGUCUCUGCCUCUGCCUCUGUGUGUCUCUGUCUCUGCCUCUGCCUCUGCCUCUGCCUCUGCCUCUGCCUCUGCCUCUGCCUCUGUGUGUCUCUGUCUCUGUCUCUGCCUCUGUGUGUCUCUGUCUCUGUCUCUGCCUCUGUGUGUCUCUGUCUCUGUCUCUGCCUCUGUCUCUGUCUCUGUCUCUGCCUCUGUCUCUGCCUCUGUCUCUGUCUCUGUCUCUGUCUCUGUCUCUGUCUCUGUCUCUGUCUCUGUGUGUCUCUGUCUCUGCCUCUGUCUCUGCCUCUGUCUCUGUCUCUGUCUCUGUCUCUGUCUCUGUCUCUGUCUCUGUCUCUGUCUCUGGCUCUUUAAGACUUCAUAG